rnacentral:rRNA from 1 species
UUGAACGCUGGCGGCAGGCCUAACACAUGCAAGUCGCGCGGAUGAAGGGAGCUUGCUCCUGGAUUCAGCGGCGGACGGGUGAGUAAUGCCUAGGAAUCUGCCUGGUAGUGGGGGAUAACGUCCGGAAACGGGCGCUAAUACCGCAUACGUCCUGAGGGAGAAAGUGGGGGAUCUUCGGACCUCACGCUAUCAGAUGAGCCUAGGUCGGAUUAGCUAGUUGGUGGGGUAAAGGCCUACCAAGGCGACGAUCCGUAAUUGGUCUGAGAGGAUGAUCAGUCACACUGGAACUGAGACACGGUCCAGACUCCUACGGGAGGCAGCAGUGGGGAAUAUUGGACAAUGGGCGAAAGCCUGAUCCAGCCAUGCCGCGUGUGUGAAGAAGGUCUUCGGAUUGUAAAGCACUUUAAGUUGGGAGGAAGGGCAGUAAGUUAAUACCUUGCUGUUUUGACGUUACCAACAGAAUAAGCACCGGCUAACUUCGUG